rnacentral:rRNA from 1 species
UGGCUUAGAAGCAGCCAUUCAUUUAAAGAGUGCGUAAUAGCUCACUGGUCGAGUGAAGUUGCGCGGAAAAUUACCGGGGCUAAGUUAUACACCGAAAUUGCGGAUUCAUUAAGAAAUUAAUGAGUGGUAGAGGAGCGUUCUAUACAGGAUGAAGUAUGAUCGAGAGGACAUAUGGACAGUAUAGAAGAGAGAAUGCCGGAAUGAGUAGCGAGAGCAAAGUGAGAAUCUUUGCCGUCGAAAAUCUAAGGUUUCCUGGGGAAGGUUCGUCCGCCCAGGGUAAGUCGGGACCUAAGGUGAGGCCGAAGGGCGUAGCCGAUGGACAGCAGGUUAAGAUUCCUGCACCAGUAUACAUGUAUAAUGCAUAAGAGGACACAUUUGAAGAAGGUGAGCGAGGAAGAGGAAAAACUCGUAUGGCAACAUAUAGUGAAAUCAAGUAACGAAUCAUCAAGAGGCAAGUGGCGAGAAAAGUCUUAUGUAGUUGUGUAGACUGCCCGUACCGCAAACCGACACAGGUAGAUGAGGAGAGGAUCCUAAGACGAGCGGGAGAAGCAUUGUUAAGGAACUCGGCAAAUUGACCCCGUAACUUAGGGAUAAGGGGUGCUGGUGUAAAAGCCAGUCGCAGUAAAUAGGCCCAAGCAACUGUUUAACAAAAACACAGGUUUCUGCUAAAUCGCAAGAUGAAGUAUAGGAGCUGACUCCUGCCCAGUGCUGGAAGGUUAAGGGGAAAGGUUAAGAAUAAUUCAUUAUAUCUGAAGCUUUGAACUCAAGCCCCAGUGAACGGCGGCCGUAACUAUAACGGUCCUAAGGUAGCGAAAUUCCUUGUCAGGUAAGUUCUGACCCGCACGAAAGGUGUAAUGAUUUGGGCACUGUCUCAACAAUGUACCCGGCGAAAUUGUAGUACUAGUGAAGAUGCUAGUUACCUGCGACAAGACGGAAAGACCCCAUGGAGCUUUACUAUAGCCUGAUAUUGGGCUUUGGUAUCUUAUGUACAGGAUAGGUGGGAGACUAUGAGAUUAAGACGCAAGUCUUAAAGGAGUCAACCUUGGAAUACCACCCUUAAGAUAUUAGAGUUCUAACUUGUGAUCAUAAACUGGUCAGAGGACAUUGUCAGGUGGGUAGUUUGACUGGGGCGGUCUCCUCCUAAAGAGUAACGGAGGUGCGCAAAGGUUUCCUCGGCACGGUCAGAAAUCGUGCUAAUGAGUGUAAAGGCAUAAGGAAGCUUAACUGAGAGAGAGACAUCUCGACCAGAUACGAAAGUAGGUCUUAGUGAUCCGGUGGUAGAAAAUGGAAUUGCCAUCGCUCAACGGAUAAAAGUUACCCUGGGGAUAACAGGCUUAUCUCCCCCAAGAGUUCACAUCGACGGGGAGGUUUGGCACCUCGAUGUCGGCUCAUCGCAUCCUGGGGCUGGAGCAGGUCCCAAGGGUUGGGCUGUUCGCCCAUUAAAGCGGUACGCGAGCUGGGUUCAGAACGUCGUGAGACAGUUCGGUCCCUAUCUGUCGCAGGCGCAGGAUAUUUGAAAGGAGCUGUCCUUAGUACGAGAGGACCAGGAUGGACAUACCAAUGGUGCAACAGUUGUCACACCAGUGGCACAGCUGUGUAGCUAAGUAUGGAAGGGAUAAACGCUGAAAGCAUCUAAGCGUGAAGCCCCCCUUAAGAUAAGAUAUCCCACAACGUCAAGUUGGUAAGAUUCCAGUUAGACUAACUGGUUGAUAGGUUAGAGGUGUAAGUGUGGUGACACAUUUAGCUGACUAAUACUAAUAAUCGAGGGCUUAACCAA